UUUCCCCGUGGACGGAGUUAUUUUGUCCGCGCCAUUUCCGAACCCCCAUCGGAAAGCGAUCGUGGACGAGGGCAGCGCAACCGCGAUCCAAACACUGGUGAGCGGCAGAAUCCAUUCUUCCUCCCUCCCCUUUUCCACUUUGGUUCAUCGUGUUUCGGUUCUGUUUCCUCGAUCGAUCGCUUCCUCGCUGGAUCCUGCUAUCCUUAUCCCCAUCGUUCGUCGAGGGGUUGAUCUCUAGUUGCAGCGAAAACUUUCUCCCUUCCUACGUGGUGCGUUGGUGAUUUCUUUUGGUGAGCUUUGAUCUUUUUAGUCUUUUUUUCUACUUGAGAUCCGCUACAAUAUUCGAUUUUGUGCUUGUCGUUUCAUUCUUGCAUCUGUUGCAUUCGAAAGGCGUCGCCUUUUUGGAUUGAUUCGUAGAGUUUCAUUCUGAUAUAUUCAUCACUCCAUCUUUCUACGUAGUGCAUUGGUGAUUUCUGUUGGUCAGAUUUGAUCUUCUUUACAGUUUUCUUCUCGAUCCGCCGCAACCAUCGAUUUUAUGCUAUGAUUUCGUCUCUUGAACCCAUUCCGUUCUAAAGGGGUCGUCUUUUUGUGUUGAGCUGUAGAUUUAGUAUCAUUCUGAUACAUUGAUCAUCGGUUUGGGACGGGAAAAUAAUCAAGGAACAUGGACUCAAUGCCGCUUGGCAUCUAGAUUGCUGGAUCAUAUUAAAUUCGGCCUCAUAACUGUAGUUUCCAUGAAACUUCUUAUUUAUGUAUAUUGAAAUGGUCAUGAGAAAUUAUGUUUCUAGCACAUAUGUAACGUUUGAGCCUUGUAUUUGUCACAGUAUGGCUUCCGCUAUUUUAACGACGGGUUAACGUUGGUUUUAAGAUGGAAAAUUAAGUGUGAUUAAAAGCAGCCAAAAGCAUCUCUAAAAAGCCUUAAUUUGUUUGAUAGUCCAUGGAAAUUUUGAACAUUGUUACAUUCCUGAUAAAUUUGCAAAAGCACCUCUAUAUCUUGACUACUCUAGUUGAUAUGCCGUUCAGUAAUGAUGAUAGUAUUUUCCUGUCUGCUUUUUCUUUUACUUUAAUGUGUUAUUUUUUAGUUCAGAUUUAUAACCAUGCGUGAAGACGAUUCUUCUUCAAGAAUUAGAGACUUUCUUACCAAUCCACCCAUACUUUUAGUCUCCACCAUCAGGAUUGGUAUCAACCCUUCAACUGUCGUUGUUAAACAAGGAUCCAUGGCCGAAAUCAUUGUCCUUGAAUGUGUGUUUGUAGCCUGAGGUGCCAUUGUACAUAAACCAGCUAUUCCGCAUAUUAUCGUUGGCAAGAGUUUGUUGUUGGAACAUAUGGUUUUUUUUUGUCAUAUUAUCAUGUUGGAGUAAGUUCUUCGAUUUGUGUAGAACCAGAUUUGGUUAUUCUUUAUGUGGAUUAUGCAUCUUCAUCGGUUGUGUUAGCUCGGUUCUUUGUAUAGAACGCAUGUUCUUUGACAAGCAGACAGAAGGAACACAAACUAUUUGUGUUUUAACUAAUCUGAUACAAAGAACGCAUGUUCUUUGACAAGCAGACAGAAGGAACACAAAC
rnacentral:lncRNA from 1 species